rnacentral:rRNA from 1 species
AUAUUGCACAAUGGAGGAAACUCUGAUGCAGCAACGCCGCGUGAGGGAAGAAGGUCUUCGGAUUGUAAACCUCUGUCCUCGGUGACGAAAAUGACGGUAGCCGAGGAGGAAGCUCCGGCUAACUACGUGCCAGCAGCCGCGGUAAUACGUAGGGAGCAAGCGUUGUCCGGAUUUACUGGGUGUAAAGGGUGCGUAGGCGGCAAUGCAAGUCAGAUGUGAAAACUAUGGGCUUAACUCAUAGAUUGCAUUUGAAACUGUGUCGCUUGAGUGAAGUAGAGGCAGGCGGAAUUCCCGGUGUAGCGGUGAAAUGCGUAGAGAUCGGGAGGAACACCAGUGGCGAAGGCGGCCUGCUGGGCUUUAACUGACGCUGAGGCACGAAAGCAUGGGUAGCAAACA